UUUUCAUGAGGAAUGUUUGCACUGGGCACUGAAUAACUUUAUGAGUGACAAUGCAUUAAUGGUGGGCCUCAGAAACCCAUCGUAACUGAUUUG
rnacentral:snoRNA from 1 species